UCCUGUUCCUAAGUACUAGUGCCGCAGGAGUGAUUAGGCUGCAUGAGACAUUACCGUAUCUCCUGCUGCUCAAGUGCUUAUCAACGGGU
rnacentral:pre_miRNA from 1 species